rnacentral:snRNA from 1 species
AUAAAUACAGGAAGGUGGUUUUCCCAGGGUGAGGCUCACCCAUUGCACUGCAGGUGUGCUGACCUCUGCGAUUUCCCCAAAUUCAGGAAACUCAACUGUAUAAUUUGUGGUAGUGGGCGUCUGCGUUCGCAGUCUCCCC